UACGUAGGGGGCAAGCGUUGUCCGGAUUUAUUGGGCGUAAAGAGCGUGUAGGCGGCCAAGCAGGUCCGCUGUGAAAACUCGAGGCUCAACCUCGAGAGGUCGGUGGAAACCGUUUGGCUAGAGUCCGGAAGAGGAGAGUGGAAUUCCCGGUGUAGCGGUGAAAUGCGCAGAUAUCGGGAAGAACACCCGUGGCGAAGGCGGCGCUCUGGACCGAGACUGACGCUGAGGCGCGAAAGCGUGGGGAGCAAACAGG
rnacentral:rRNA from 1 species